AUAAACUGGAGGAAGGUGGGGAUGACGUCAAGUCAUCAUGGCCCUUACGACCAGGGCUACACACGUGCUACAAUGGCGCAUACAAAGAGAAGCGACCUCGCGAGAGCAAGCGGACCUCAUAAAGUGCGUCGUAGUCCGGAUUGGAGUCUGCAACUCGACUCCAUGAAGUCGGAAUCGCUAGUAAUCGUGGAUCAGAAUGCCACGGUGAAUACGUUCCCGGGCCUUGUACACACCGCCCGUCACACCAUGGGAGUGGGUUGCAAAAGAAGUAGGUAGCU
rnacentral:rRNA from 1 species